UGGGGAAUUUUGGACAAUGGGGGAAACCCUGAUCCAGCCAUCCCGCGUGUGCGAUGAAGGCCUUCGGGUUGUAAAGCACUUUUGGCAGGAAAGAGACGUCGCGGGUUAAUACCCCGCGAAACUGACGGUACCUGCAGAAUAAGCACCGGCUAACUACGUGCCAGCAGCCGCGGUAAUACGUAGGGUGCAAGCGUUAAUCGGAAUUACUGGGCGUAAAGCGUGCGCAGGCGGUUCGGAAAGAAAGAUGUGAAAUCCCAGAGCUUAACUUUGGAACUGCAUUUUUAACUACCGGGCUAGAGUGUGUCAGAGGGAGGUGGAAUUCCGCGUGUAGCAGUGAAAUGCGUAGAUAUGCGGAGGAACACCGAUGGCGAAGGCAGCCUCCUGGGAUAACACUGACGCUCAUGCACGAAAGCGUGGGGAGCAAACAGGAUUAGAUACCCUGGUAGUCCACGCCCUAAACGAUGUCAACUAGCUGUUGGGGCCUUCGGGCCUUGGUAGCGCAGCUAACGCGUGAAGUUGACCGCCUGGGGAGUACGGUCGCAAGAUUAAAACUCAAAUGAAUUGAC
rnacentral:rRNA from 1 species